rnacentral:rRNA from 1 species
CAAUAGCGUAUAUUAAAGCUGUUGCGGUUAAAAAGCUCGUAGUUGGAUUUCUGUCAAGGACAACUGGUCCGCCCUCCGGGUGAGCACAUAGUUUGGUCUUGGCAUCUUGCUGGAAACUGUUGCUGCGCUUGGUUGUGUGGUGCAGCUUUCAGCACUUUCACUUUGAGGAAAUUGGAGUGUUUCAAGCAGGCACAUGCCUUUGGACACAGUAGCAUGGAAUAAUUAGAUUGGGCUUUUGCUCCAACUUGUUGGUUCCUGGAGCUGAGGUGAGAAUCAAUGGGGAUUGUUGGGGGCAUCCGAAUUUAGCCGUCAGAGGUGAAAUUCUUGGAUCUGCUAAAGACGGACAUCUGCGAAAGCGUUUGCCCAGGAUGUUUUCAUUGA